UACGUAGGGUGCGAGCGUUGCCCGGAUUUAUUGGGCGUAAAGAGCGUGUAGGCGGCCAUGUAGGUCCGUUGUGAAAACUCGAGGCUCAACCUCGAGACGCCGAUGGAAACCAUGUGGCUAGAGUCCGGAAGAGGAGAGUGGAAUUCCUGGUGUAGCGGUGAAAUGCGCAGAUAUCAGGAAGAACACCCGUGGCUAAGGCGGCUCUCUAGUACGGUACUGACGCUGAGACGCGAAAGCGUGGGGAGCGAACAGG
rnacentral:rRNA from 1 species